GAUGAACGCUGGCGGCGUGCCUAAUACAUGCAAGUCGAACGCACAGCGAAAGGUGCUUGCACCUUUCAAGUGAGUGGCGAACGGGUGAGUAACGCGUGGACAACCUGCCUCAAGGCUGGGGAUAACAUUUGGAAACAGAUACUAAUACCGAAUAAAACUCAGUGUCGCAUGACACAAAGUUAAAAGGCGCUUUGGCGUCACCUAGAGAUGGAUCCGCGGUG
rnacentral:rRNA from 1 species